rnacentral:rRNA from 1 species
UGGGGAAUAUUGCACAAUGGGCGCAAGCCUGAUGCAGCGACGCCGCGUGAGCGAAGAAGGUUUUCGGAUCGUAAAGCUCUGUCCUCUGGGAAGAAAAAAAUGACGGUACCAGAGGAGGAAGCCCCGGCUAACUACGUGCCAGCAGCCGCGGUAAUACGUAGGGGGCUAGCGUUGUCCGGAUUUACUGGGCGUAAAGGGUGAGUAGGCGGUAACGUGUGUCAGAUGUUUAAUCUAUGGGCUCAACCCAUAUCAGCAUUUGAAACUACGUAACUUGAGUGCAGGAGAGGUAAGUGGAAUUCCUAGUGUAGCGGUGGAAUGCGUAGAUAUUAGGAGGAACACCAGUGGCGAAGGCGACUUACUGGACUGCAACUGACGCUGAGUCACGAAAGCGUGGGGAGCAAACAGG